UACGGAGGCGGCGAGCGUUGUCCGGAAUUACUGGGUGUAAAGGGCGUGUAGGCGGGACUGCAAGUUGGAGGUGAAAUUCCGGGGCUUAACCUCGGCGCUGCAUCCGAAACUGCAUUUCUUGAGUGCUGGAGAGGAAAGCGGAAUGCCUAGUGUAGCGGUGAAAUGCGUAGAUAUUAGGAGGAACACCAGUGGCGAAGGCGGCUUUCUGGACAGUAACUGACGCUGAGGCGCGAAAGCGUGGGGCGCAAACAGG
rnacentral:rRNA from 1 species